rnacentral:tRNA from 1 species
AUUUUAGUAGCUUAAUUUAAAGCAUAAUAUUGAAGAUAUUAUUAUAGUUUUUACUCUAAAAUA